CGAUGAACCACUUCGGUGGGGAUUAGUGGCGAACGGGUGAGUAACACGUGGGCAAUCUGCCCUGCACUCUGGGACAAGCCCUGGAAACGGGGUCUAAUACCGGAUACUGAUCAACUGGGGCAUCCCUGGUGAUCGAAAGCUCCGGCGGUGCAGGAUGAGCCCGCGGCCUAUCAGCUUGUUGGUGAGGUAACGGCUCACCAAGGCGACGACGGGUAGCCGGCCUGAGAGGGCGACCGGCCACACUGGGACUGAGACACGGCCCAGACUCCUACGGGAGGCAGCAGUGGGGAAUAUUGCACAAUGGGCGAAAGCCUGAUGCAGCGACGCCGCGUGAGGGAUGACGGCCUUCGGGUUGUAAACCUCUUUCAGCAGGGAAGAAGCGAAAGUGACGGUACCUGCAGAAGAAGCGCCGGCUAACUACGUGCCAGCAGCCGCGGUAAUACGUAGGGCGCGAGCGUUGUCCGGAAUUAUUGGGCGUAAAGAGCUCGUAGGCGGCUUGUCGCGUCGGUUGUGAAAGCCCGGGGCUUAACCCCGGGUCUGCAGUCGAUACGGGCAGGCUAGAGUUCGGUAGGGGAGAUCGGAAUUCCUGGUGUAGCGGUGAAAUGCGCAGAUAUCAGGAGGAACACCGGUGGCGAAGGCGGAUCUCUGGGCCGAUACUGACGCUGAGGAGCGAAAGCGUGGGGAGCGAACAGGAUUAGAUACCCUGGUAGUCCACGCCGUAAACGGUGGGCACUAGGUGUGGGCAACAUUCCACGUUGUCCGUGCCGCAGCUAACGCAUUAAGUGCCCCGCCUGGGGAGUACG
rnacentral:rRNA from 1 species